UAAUUGAAUGAAGAUAAGCUCUCAAGAGAAUAUUACGUUUUGAAUAAUGAAUCAAUGGACCAUUGUUCGAUCGAGCCGGAAACGAGUAAAGAGGAUACCGACAAAAUUCGACAGAAUGAUGUUCGAUGUCGUGUGACAGACGGAUCGUGGCCGGAAAAGCGCGAAAAUAGGAAGAGGAAGCGAGCGAAGAAAGAAAGAAAAGAGAGGCGGAGACGUGGAAGUGGCGCGUGGCACUACCGAAUAAGUAUCGAAUGCCGCCAGAUGUUGCGGUGAAGCCAGCUGCUGCACCUCCGCCACUCUGCCCUCUUUUGCUUUUCCUCGCGGUUUUUCGAGAGAGUCGAGCAGAGAACUGGCGUGAAAACCGAAAAAGGACAAGAAGGAAAAGAAAAAGGAGAGCUCUUCGAGCGAGGAGAACAAGAUGGGAAGGAAGUGGCGGAGGGGGUCGAAAGCGAAUAUCCUUCCUGCCGGGGCAACAAACAGGCAGCUGCUCGGAUUUGAGCACGUGCUACUACCACCGUGCGAUGCCACGAUGAGCCUCGUCUUAGAUAGCCGAGGUUGGUAGGUUGCUGGGUAAAGAUAGGAAAGAAGUGAUUUGAUAACUCGAUAGCACGUGCUAUGACUGUUUUACAUGGAAAAUGACCGACAAAGGUUGAUCGGAAGGUAUUAUGCACCAACUCUCUAAAUAGAAGGUAUACUAUAAACGAGCACCAGAUAUCCCCAGGAAGGGUACGAUCGUGCAUGCAUGCGUAUCUCCCUUCAUGGCAUCAACUAUACGAAUAUUUAUGAGAGUGGUUAAUAGAGGAUUGUCUUAUACCACUUAUCUAUAUUCAAAAACGCACAUUAGUUACAAUAUUACAAAUGAUAUUUAUUGGCAUAAUCCUCCAUGGUACCUGAUAAUCAUGCGACACCUGUUACGACACAACACUUACUUAAUUGGAGGCUACGAACAGCUGCCCACACGACGAACCAAUCACGGCUGUUCGCCUGAAAUUCUUCUUUACUCGCGACAUCCCUGACGAGCACCUGUUCCAAUUCGGAAUAUACCAAACAAGGAUCCUUGACCAGAAUUUCGCACGAAAGGAAAGCCCGGAUUGAUUGUCGGAUUCCGAUUUAUUCGAUCGACAGCUCGUGAUUUCGUUUUGACGAUGAUGCAACUAGCCAAUUAAUUAAAACAUGCGGCUAUGAAACUGGAAUAUCAAAAUAUCAAAUCCGAAUUUAAAUUAGAAAUAUUUAAUAUUUCGCAAUGUGUUUUUUUUCAAAUUAAAAUUAAAUAAAUUUUAAUUAAAAUUUAGACUAAUUAGCGAGAAUGGAAAACAUUUUUGUCUAAUUAUUCUGAAUAUAUUUCAAUUUUUAUGUUGUAUAUAUUUUUUUUAUCAUUUUAGAGUAUGGUGUGAUUUUUUACAAACAAGCGAUUGCAUUUAUUACUUAACUGCCAUAGCGAAGCUGGAAAUUUAUCCAUCCGCAUAAAAGUAUAUCAUGCUCAAAUAUUCGAGGAGACUGCAGUUAGUUUCUUAAGUCCUCUGCUACUUUACAACGACACUGCGUAACGAUGCUGGACGAACGGCACAGCUGUCAACCCGUGUCCACAAGAGGACCAUGCUUGAAUUUCUAUAUCGUCCACGAUAUCAUACUCAAAUAUGUGUUCGGUAUAUAUACCACUAUGGCGAAAUUCCUUGAUGUUACCUCAUGCUUAAUGACACGUAAGAGGUCUGCGUAUUACACCUGUCAGGCCACCUUUGCCAAAAAUUACUCAAAUUCUGUCUCUUACGAUGGGACAUGGAGGAUCAACCAGCUGGUGUUAUAGCUUUUCACGAUUUCACAAUGUUUGAUCAACGAAAUUCAAGAAAAUUGUCCUACUGGAAAUUAAUUAUCAAACUUGAGAAUCUCGACAAUUAAAAUUGAGGCAAGUAUUAGAAAAAUUAAACACGUUUAUAAUUUAUUGAUUACAGAUUAUCCGCUACAAUGAAAAUAAAAGCUAAAAAUUUCUUCAAUAAAGAUGAAAUCAAUAUCAAUAGCAGAAAAGAAUAUUUGAAUUUUUUUCAAGAAUUUUAUAAUGAUUAAUUAAAUUGUUACCAGCUAUGUAACAGAGAAUGAAUAAAAUGAGUUCUGAUGGAUAAAAAAGUCAGAAGUUGACAACAGAUGGUUCUUUACGGAUGCUGAAUUGACAAAUUGUUUAUUUUAAAGACAAGCAUUAAUUACUCUUGAUUGAUUCCUUUGCUUUAUCUUACUUUCUUUUCUUGCAAUUUAUAGUCAACAAAAAUUUUAUCAAUUAUAUAAUUUUAUUAACAAUAUACACACAUAUAUAUAUAUAUAUUUUAACAAGUCGAUUAAUUUUUGCAGAUUUCUAUUGUUCAUCGAUAAUCAUCUCGCUAACUCGACAAAAAUAUCAAAAUCGAUGGACAGCUGCUGGAUCUUAAAGACUGCAGAAAAAAAGGAACGCAUUGCAUUCUUGAAAUGCCCGGCAACUUGGUAACGUUAAACCGAGUACAUGCACGAGAGCGAUGGAGGCUGGCACGCGAGUGCUUAUCCGGUAAAAUAGCAGAAAAGAAUUCGUCCGAAGUGGGCCAGCGGGCUCAGUUUCCAGGCCGUGAGGAGGCAGCAACAGAUGGCACCGACCUUGCGGAUGCUGCGUUAGAACGCUUCGUUUUUCUUUAUACUCAAGAUCCUUCCUUUCUACGAUGAUGAUCUUCAAUUUUUCUUAUCAUACGUUUUCUUCAAACAUCUCUAUUCUUUCAUUUCUAUCCACAAACAACGCCACAGAUAUGUAUUGAAAUUUAUCUUCUCCUCAUCCUAACUCUCUCAUUGCACCCUCUCGCACUGAGAGUUUUUCAACAAAACAACCAAAGGGACGCGUGCCGUCUUUUUUAUCUGAGUGCAUUUUGCGGAAUAGUUGCUAUCUGUGGACUCUGAGGGAGGAAAAAAAAAAGGAAUCGGUGAUAUCUUGUUCAAAAACAGAUAUACCACAUAUACCGUAUCAGUGCAACCGCGUAUUCUCUCACUCACAGUGAUAUUAGGACGUAUGAGUAAAGGAAAGAAGGUGAAGGAGGGUGAGGUCGAAGGGGAAAACGAAGAAGGGGCAGAUGGUAGCGUCUUCUUCGCAGCCAAGUGGCAGCGGGCACGCGCCAAUCGAGUCCGAAAGAACAUCUGCCGCUACGUUCCCAGGAGUACAAGAGAACCACCGACUCGCAGGCAACAGGCCAUCUUCUAACAACCAGUCAGUCAGUUUCUUCUUUCCUAUGCUUUUUUCACCUACCACCUACCUCACCACGCGCCACGACUCCCCCUCCACCAGUUUUUCCUUUCUCCUUCUCCUAAGCUUAACUCUCCGACCAUCUACUUUCCUUCCUCAGACCUUCCCUCCUCCGCGAGAGCGGUUUCCUUUCAGUUUUCACAGAUGCUGCAUGGAUCUUCUAGAUCUGGAAAAGAGGAGGAACAGUCGGUGGAACAGUUGCCACGUUGAUUUUUCACUUGGAAAAGGUGGUUGGCAGACGGUGGGAGAAAGGUGGUCUAGGAGGUUUGGCCUGAUCAAUUUUCUUAACGAUGGCACGUGGUACUGUGCUACCACCAGUUUCCUAGUGGGACUUUGCAGAUGAAUUUUUAAUGGAGUGUUAAAUCUCAAUAAGAAUUGCAAAAGAAUUGCGACAAGUCUACUUUAAUUCUUACUUUGAUUCAACUGUAAUUGUGUAUAUUCUUGUUUAUUAAUUGUUUUAUCAAUUGUUUAUUAUUGUGCUACCACCAGUUUCCUAAUGGGACUUUGCAAAUGGAAAUUGUCUGUUUACAUUCGUGUUCGAUACGUCGCACGACUUUUCGUCGAACAAAUCCCCACUCCAAUAUAUAAUUUCGUAAACAAAAUCGUACGCGACGUAUCAUUCUAUUACCGAAAGUUGAACGGAUAGGACGCUUUGCUGCGAGUGCGCGAUUAUUUAUUGCGUAGAAUAUUCUUUCCACUAAUUUUUAAUGGAGUGUUAAAUCUCAAUAAGAAUUGCAAAAGAAUUGCGACAAGUCUACUUUAAUUCUUACUUUGAUUCAACUAUAAUUAUGCAUAUUCUUGUUUAUUAAUUGUUUUAUUAAUUGUUUAUUAUUGUGCUACCACCAGUUUUCUAAUGGGACUUUGCAAAUGAAUUUUUAAUGGAGCAUUAAAUCUCAAUAAGAAUUGCAAAAGAAUUGCGACAACUCUACUUUAAUUCUUAAUUCAACUAAUGGCAGAUGCAAGUACUUCAAACAUAAGGAACGUUCAAUGGCAAAUAUCCUUUAUAGAGCGAGAUUUUUCUUUAAGGUUGACACCGGUUUUCCUUCCACCGAUUCUCCUUUUCUUCUCAUUUUCCUCCUUCCAAUGCAGAUGCAGUUUUUCCAUUAUGUCUCGAGGUCCUCGUGCCACCAGUCAUCCCCAUCCAACCCCCAGGGCGACUUUCGAUCUUUACAGAUCGCGCACGUGCUCGAUACCACCUCCCAGAUUUUCUCUUCCUCCUCGAUCAUCCUUUGUAUCUUGCGAGGAGGAAAUCCGUCGCGAUCUUAAGCUCGUCAUGCACGACGUGGCUCCAUUGUGAAGCGGUACAAUGAUCUGGGAAGGGGGACCGUAGCCCAUCUCGGAUUCGAAAGUCCUCGAGUGGGAGUUGGAGCGUAAAGACAUUUUCUUUUUUUUUUUUUUUUUUUUUAAUAUAUGAAAGACAACUUUAUGUUCGCAACACUUAUGUGCUUAUUCUCUCUUCUGUGGAAAUAUUUUUCAGUGAAAAAAAUUUAUCAAUCUUAAAGGAAAAAAAAAAAUAUAUUGAAAAAUAUUAUUAUAAGAAAUUAUUCAUACAAUUAUUAUGAUAAUGAUAUCGUUACAUAUUUAUAAUAUUUUCAUAUAUGUACGUAUAAUCUUAUUGGCAUAUUUUUAAUGAUUAAUAACAUAUGACUGUAUUGAAAUUUAGUCUUUAUGAGAAAAUUAAUGGACGAUAAAAAUGACGAUAAUAUGACGAUAUUUUAUGAUGAGUUCCAAUUAUUUUUCCUGUCUCUUUCAGGAAUUCGUGUGUGAGUGAGUGAGAGAAAGAGAGAGAGAGUGGAAAGAAGAGGGUCUUCCUGGUCGCAGCUCGAUCAUGCCAGAUGUAGAGUGAAGGUAAGGAGGAACUCGGAUUUCCGAUCGAGGUUCCUCCCUUAAUGCGGCCUCCCUUACCUUGAUUGCCCUGAAAGAUUUUAUUACCCUUAUGAAAUCAAGCUACCGCAAAUCUCGCCCUCGAAUCUUCUCCCCCUAUCAUAAAAGAUUCCAAAAAUGCCAAAUUAUUAAGUUAUAUUAAACGUUAGAAUAUCAAGGU